CAGCGGCCCGAGGCCCCGCCCCCGCCGGCCGCCCCGCUCGAUUGCUCCUGUCUGGCGGCGGCAGCAUGGCGGCGGGGGCGGCCGAGGCGGCGGCGGCGGCGGUGGUGGAGGUCGGCUCGGCCCAGCAGUUUGAGGAGCUGCUGCGCCUCAGAGCCAAGUCCCUCCUUGUGGUCCAUUUUUGGGCGCCGUGGGCUCCACAAUGUGCUCAGAUGAACGAUGUGAUGGCAGAAUUAGCCAAAGAACAGCCUCAAGUUUCGUUUGUGAAGUUGGAAGCUGAAGCCGUUCCUGAAGUAUCUGAAAAAUAUGAAAUUAGUUCUGUUCCCACCUUUCUGUUUUUCAAGAAUUCUCAGAAAAUUGACCGAUUAGAUGGUGCACAUGCCCCAGAGUUGACCAAAAAAGUUCAGCGCCAUGCAUCUAGCGGCUCCUUCCCACCCAGUGGUAACGAGCAUCCUAAAGAAGAUCUCAACCUUCGCCUGAAGAAAUUAACUCAUGCCGCCCCUUGCAUGUUGUUUAUGAAAGGAACUCCUCAGGAGCCGCGCUGCGGUUUCAGCAAGCAGAUGGUGGAAAUCCUUAACAAACAUAAUAUUCAGUUUAGCAGUUUUGAUAUCUUCUCAGAUGAAGAAGUUCGUCAGGGCCUCAAAACCUAUUCCAACUGGCCCACCUAUCCCCAGCUCUAUGUUUCUGGAGAGCUCAUAGGAGGACUUGAUAUAAUUAAGGAGCUUGAAGCGUCUGAUGAACUAGAUACAAUUUGCCCUAAAGCUCCCAAAUUAGAGGAAAGGCUCAAAGUACUGACAAAUAAAGCUUCUGUGAUGCUCUUUAUGAAAGGAAACAAACAGGAAGCAAAAUGUGGAUUCAGCAAACAAAUUCUGGAAAUACUAAAUAAUACUGGUGUUGAAUACGAGACAUUUGAUAUAUUGGAGGAUGAAGAAAGUUCCUGUUGUUUCUGUAGGUUCGGCAGGGGUUAAAAACUUAUUCAAAUUGGCCCACGUACCCUCAGCUGUAUGUGAAAGGGGAGCUCAUUGGAGGACUGGAUAUUGUUAAGGAACUGAGAGACAACGGUGAGCUGCUGCCAGUGCUGAAAGGAGAGAACUAGGGACUGUUACACUCGGUGCCUGACUGCUGCAGGAAACCUUCGUCACAGCGGGGCGGCUCACGACUCCUUUCUCAGACUGCUGCGCACCCAGUUAGGCUCGGUGUAUCCCACCAGCUCGUGCUAAAUAAAUACAUGUAUGUUUUGUUUGUUUUUCAUCAAACCAGUAUGCAAUAAACAUCUUCAAAUCCGAUUAAAAA